GAGCAAGAAAGGCCUAUUUAAAAUCUCAGUGGGCGAUUGAUACUUCAGGUUCAAGAUGGCAGACUGAGCAUGCAUGUUUUCUUCCUGUGAGGCCCUGUUUUGUACAAUCCAAUGAAAAGCAAGGCCAACAUAAUGUGAAUGGUAUGUUUAAAAGCCAUGUAUAUUUAUGGAUUUAUGAGCACCUGCUUCCAGCCUUUUGAAGUCAAUUUCAGAUUUGAGAUGAAGAAUCUGAGGCACAAAGAGGUCAACUGGCUUGCCCAAGGGUACUUGGCAGAAGGUGAGCUCUGAUAUAGUGCUUUAGUGCACGGACUCAGAAAGUGGAUGAGCUAAGACAUUCAUGAAGCUGUGUAAGAGAGAAAGGCUCAUCACCUUUGCAGAUGACACAAGCCUUUUAUGCGGGAAUCAAAGAAGAACAUGAGAGGCCAGAACACCGGAUUGAAACCAGCAAUUUGACCUUUAAAAGGUAUAAAGUACUGCUUUUAGGUUUAAAUAGUUAACUGCACAAGCCAGAGACACACAGCUUGGUAGCACACUUCUAGCAAAAAAUCCUUUGCUUUUAAUUGACUGCAAGAUCAAUUUAUCUCCGAGUAGCCCAUGAGAGCUAAUACAUGAAACCCAAACUUAGCUUUACUAAUUGGUACAUAGUAGGGGUGCUACUCUUUUCUGCUGGUGUGAAAUCAUAACUGAAAUUUUGGACUCAGUUUCUAAUAAAAAUUUAGGAAGAACCUUAAUCAAUUGUAACUGCAGAAAAAAAAUCACAUGAUUUUGAGUGAAUUAAAUAUCAUGUUUUCUCAUUUUAUAAGCUAUGGUUAAAAAACUGGAUAUAUCCCAGAAAAAUGAAUUUUUAGAAAUUCGGUGGAACUGUGAUCUGAGAAAAUGGUUGUGAAAAUGGGA
rnacentral:lncRNA from 10 species